rnacentral:rRNA from 1 species
AAGAGACAGCAGUCGCCACGGUAAUACAGAGGUCCCGAGCGUUGUUCGGAUUCAUUGGGCGUAAGGGGUGCGCAGGCGGCGGGGUAAGUCUGAUGUGAAAUCCCGGAGCUCAACUCCGGAACUGCAUUGGAUACUGCUCUGCUAGAGUACUGGAGAGGAAACUGGAAUUUACGGUGUAGCAGUGAAAUGCGUAGAGAUCGUAAGGAAGACCAGUGGCGAAGGCGAGUUUCUGGACAGUUACUGACGCUGAGGCACGAAGGCCAGGGGAGCAAACGGGAUUAGAUACCCCUGUAGUCCCUGUCUCUUAUAU